rnacentral:rRNA from 1 species
AUUGAACGCUGGCGGCAUGCCUUACACAUGCAAGUCGAACGGUAACAGGUCUUCGGAUGCUGACGAGUGGCGAACGGGUGAGUAAUACAUCGGAACGUGCCCGAGAGUGGGGGAUAACGAAGCGAAAGCUUUGCUAAUACCGCAUACGAUCUCAGGAUGAAAGCAGGGGACCGCAAGGCCUUGCGCUCACGGAGCGGCCGAUGGCGGAUUAGGUAGUUGGUGGGAUAAAAGCUUACCAAGCCGACGAUCUGUAGCUGGUCUGAGAGGACGACCAGCCACACUGGGACUGAGACACGGCCCAGACUCCUACGGGAGGCAGCAGUGGGGAAUUUUGGACAAUGGGCGCAAGCCUGAUCCAGCCAUGCCGCGUGCAGGAUGAAGGACUUCGGGUUGUAAACUGCUUUUGUACGGAACGAAAAGACUCUGGUUAAUACCUGGGGUCCAUGACGGUACCGUAAGAAUAAGCACCGGCUAACUCUGUGCCAGCAGCCGCCGUAAUAC